UGUAGAAGCUCCUGUCCCGUACGUAGUCCUCAAAGAAGGCCUAACAGAGUAAUUCUUUCAUCUCUGUUUAGUUCCUAAGAAAAUUAUGGAAAAUGAGAAUCCUCUUGCUUCUUUUGUUUCUUUCUAGUGCUUAUAAUUUGAUUCUUUCUGUGUCUCAACUCUAAAACUGAUGUUGUUCUCAACAAUGAAAACCCACCGGUUCCGAUUCACCCACCAAUCACUCGGAAACCACUGGAAUCGGAAUCUGCUGCUGAGGAUGAUUCCACGGGCGACUCAAUUGACAGGAUGUUGGAAAUUGAAGAUAUUGACAGCCUUGAUAAGAAGGAUCCACUUUGUGUUGUGGAGUACAUCGAUGACCUGUAUACAUACUACAAGGCAGCCGAGGUUUCUGUCUCUAUUCCACCAAAUUACAUGGCCCAACAACUACAUAUUAACGACAGGACGAGAGGGUUUCUCAUUCACUGGC